rnacentral:lncRNA from 1 species
UCAACAUCAAUGUAAAACAUGUAACCCAAUACAUGCCAAUCAUUCAACAACAGAAAUCAAAUUAAUUAAAACAUUCCCUCCCGAUGUUACAUCUAUCAGAGCAUGACCCAUAAGAAACUACUCUAGGACUCCAAGCAUAAGCUUCUACUCAACUCAUUUCUCGUUACCUGAAAAAUAGGCGUAAGGGUGAGUUCCUCAAUCAAUAUAAUAAGCAUUAUA